ensembl:ncRNA F45E1.12 ncRNA
UCAAAAAAAAAUUGACGCGUUGAACGUUUAUUUUAUAUUACAUUCUGACAUACAGUGCUAUGGGAGUACCAUAAAAAUGGUAGUUCGGCGCACUAUACCUACGAUAUAUUUCCCAGAGGGAGAUUUACAGCGAGUAUUG